rnacentral:rRNA from 1 species
UACGUAGGGUGCAAGCGUUAAUCGGAAUUACUGGGCGUAAAGCGUGCGCAGGCGGCCAAGCAAGACAGAUGUGAAAUCCCCGGGCUCAACCUGGGAACUGCAUUUGUGACUGCUUGGCUAGAGUACGGCAGAGGGGGAUGGAAUUCCGCGUGUAGCAGUGAAAUGCGUAGAUAUGCGGAGGAACACCGAUGGCGAAGGCAAUCCCCUGGGCCUGUACUGACGCUCAUGCACGAAAGCGUGGGGAGCAAACAGG